UUUAUGUCUAUCUAUUUGUAUCAAUAGGUACUUUUUAAUAAACUUAGAUAACCAUAACAUUUCACGAAUGUUGAAUGCAAAUUAACUUUAUUGAAUGAAGAAAAUAACAUCAUUAAUUUGGGUGAACAUGUGGCUGACUAAUGAAAGAGGCAUAUUCCAGUAUUUUUGUUUAACAUAUUAACUCACGAGAAAAUAUUCGUACAUGUAUCAUCUAGUAUUAAUUAUUAUUUGAUGAUUGGUCUAAAACAUUCAUUACAACCAGUAAAAAUUAAGUGUCCCCUACGGGAUUCGAACCUCCGCUCGCACAAAAAUAAAUAUCUCCCGCGCGUCAGAACGGUGAUUCUGCCCACUGAGCCAUCAGGACGCUCAAAGGAGUCGGAAGAAAAAACACUAUUUAGGUGACUCAAAAACGCUGAGCGAGGCUUCACAAGAGAUGUCCUUGACACGUCGGCCACCUCCGUGGACGCCGUGGUAAAAGAUAAGAACUUAAUCGCUAUUCUCUGUGAGACAUUGUUUGCCUAUGCUUUCAUACGUCUCGAGGUUCAUCUCAGCAUGCACUUACUAUCGCGGCAGUGAGCUGAGGCAAUAUUUCUGUAUUCAUGGAUUAAAUCAAUCAAUUGAGUUCUGAUUUUGGCUCCUUUGUCAGUAAAAAGUCCUCCAGAGCAACUUUUCUCUUUGUGCGAUGGGUAAUUUUUCUUUAGUCUCAUUUUUAAAAUUUGAGGUGAGAUAAUGGCGGCCGCGGCUUCUCAAGAGCAAAGAGGACGAAGGCGAGUUUUUGCACCAACGAACAGAAAAUUGAUGGCGAAAAAUAACCAAUCAGAACCUCCCAAAAAAAAAAGAAUUUGCCUAAUAUCGUUUUUCGGUGGCUCUGCGCAGAUUUACCAGUCAGACGCGACAUCUCAAGGAGAAAAAAAACUCGCGGAAAGCGAAUUUUAGAAUUCUACACAACCUGACGUAGAGAUAUGAUUGGCUAAAAAACACAACGAUUUUUGAUACAUCCGAAAAUGAACCAAAGAUCGAACACUGGGCGAUUCGCUCAAGGUCACAAAGACAUAGGGAAUUACACAGGGAAACGAACGGAUCGAUUACAAAGAGUAGGGACUCCGUCCCAUGCCAAAAUGCUUUUCAUCCACUGCGAAGUUGCAAUUCUGCGCUAGUAUUUUUCUUCAUUAUUCUGUUCGGACAAAUUAUAGGUAAAAGAUUUUCUCAAUACUUUCUGUAAAUUUGUUUCAAAUCCUCAAACAUAUUUAUAGAACAUGUCAAAGAGAUAUAUUGACGGUGGUACUCCAAAACCACGUAUCUCGGGUUGCGACGUUUCAGACUUACUGUCAUACUGUAUUUCUAAAGAAAAAACCACUCGACAUUCAUUCUUCAGGGUUGCCACAGAAUUUGGAAAAUGAAAUUCCCUGACGUUUCCCUGACACAUUUCGGCAAAAAUCCCUGGCACUUGAAAUCAUGACAGAUGGUUGAGAAUACAUAAUUGAAAAUAGUUUUCCGGCCAAAUUGUUCGUUCGAAAACUUAAACUCAUUCUAGAAAGCAAAUAAAGGUGAUUUAGGAAAUUACCCCUGAAAUGUUC
rnacentral:lncRNA from 1 species